rnacentral:misc_RNA from 1 species
UGUUGGAGCGGGCUUGCCCGCGAAAGCGGUGGAUCUUCAACAUUGAUGUGCACUGACACUCCGCCAUCGCGGGCAAGCCCGCUCCCACA